rnacentral:rRNA from 1 species
UGAUGCCUGUACCUUAUGAAUAAGCAUCGGCUAACUCCGUGCCAGCAGCCGCGGUAAUACGGAGGAUGCGAGCGUUAUCCGGAUUUAUUGGGUUUAAAGGGUGCGUAGGCGGUUUAUUAAGUUAGAGGUUAAAUAUUUGAGCUAAACUCAAUUGUGCCAUUAAUACUGGUAAACUGGAGUACAGACGAGGUAGGCGGAAUAAGUUAAGUAGCGGUGAAAUGCAUAGAUAUAACUUAGAACUCCGAUAGCGAAGGCAGCUUACCAGACUGUAACUGACGCUGAUGCACGAGAGCGUGGGUAG